CUGUUUUUAUAGGAAAGCCAUUCUCUGUAUCUAGUUCACAAUAUAAAACACCUUGGGACUUUGGAUUCUCAGACUGAUGUAGUUCACUGUCGUGCUUUCCUUGAUCUACUUCCUCUUGGAGCUGGGAGACUUGAGUUCUAUCUGCCAGGUUUUUUCUGGAUAAUUCAUCUUCAGACUGAUGAAGUACACUGUCGUGCUUUCCUUGAUUUACUUCAUCUUGAAGCUGCAAGACUUGAGUUCUAUCUGCCAGGUUUUUUCUUGAUAAUUCAUCUUCAGAUGAGGUUGACAAUUUGUCUGUCGGAUCUACACCCCCUUGAAGCCUGGAGACUUGAGCUCUAUCUAUCUGGCUUUCCCUUGAUAAAUUGUCUUCAGAUGAGGUCGAUGAUAUUGAUGCCUGGAC
rnacentral:lncRNA from 1 species